rnacentral:lncRNA from 1 species
AUUUUGUGUCUUUAUUGUACAAUUUAUAAAACAUCGCGCUGCCCACCCGCCCCCCUCCCUGCUCCCCCCCCCCCGCUCCCCCCCCCCGCCCCUCUCCCCCACUCCCCAUCCCCCUCCUUUGUUUCUGGGUGUCCCCCCCCUCUUCCCUUUUCCCCCACCCCAUCCCAGAGCUCCGCACACCGCGGUCCCCCCCCCAAACCCCGCACCCCUCUCUCUCCCUCCGCUCCCCUCUCGGCUCUAAAACGCGACUAUGGCCCGAGUCCAGGCCCCCAGGCUGGCCAGCGCCUGCUUGCCGCACAGCUGCCCGUUGAGGGGCUGCUCCGAGUCCGCCUGCUGCCGGCUCACCAACCCCGUGAAACCGGAGCCGAAGAUGGAGAUCAAGUUGGAGAUGUUGGAAGAGUCCUGCGGGUGUUCGGCGUUGCCGUACUCCUCGAAACGGGCGCGUUUGGUGCACGGGGCGAAUUGGGGGCCGCCCGCCACCCCGCCUCCCCCCGGCUCCCCUUCCUCCACCCCCUCCUCCUCUUCCUCCUGCCCCGGGUAAUACUUGCGCUUAGAGCCCGGCGGGGGCGGCGGGGAGGGGGGCAACGGAGCCGCGGGUUGGCAGCAACACGGGCACUGCGAGCAGCACUCCUGGUGCAGGUAACCGUUCUCCACCGUGGUCACGACGUGAGUGUCCAAAUCCAGCACCGUGGUUCGGCUGCUACAGUGCUGCUGCGUUCCUCCUCCGCUCCCAAAGUCACAACCGGACGAAGCUGCUGCUGCGGCCGCAUAAGUGGGGGCCGCCCCGGUCCCGUGUCCCGCUCCGUGCCCGGUUGGGGCCGCUCGGUAGAAGCUCGUGGAGUCUCUGCACGGCGCCCUGUGCUGCAGUUCGAGGGGAGCGGAGCACAGCGUUACCUCCGCCCCCGGUUCCGCGCCGCCCCGCAGCGCAGCGCAGCUUCGAACGUCGCGUUCGUGGGGAUCGCAGGGCAAAGGGGGCAUCUCCGCAGGGUGGGAGGGGGCCGGAGGGGGGCAGGGAGGGGGCACGGCGAGCAACGGGGCUCCGUCGGGGUAAUGCUGCUGGCGGCGGUAGAGCUCGGCGUAGCGUUCGCUCAGGUAGAGCUGACGGGCGUUGCGGAGAACGUAAGAGACGAGCAGGUUCUUGUGGAGCUUGAUGCCGCCUCGUUGAGUGCGGGAGCUGUGGAUCUUCCGCAGGGAAAUACUGAUCAAACUCUGCGCAUCGAGGGUGCACUCCAUCCUCCUCCUCCGACCCCUCAGCAUCUGCUCCGGCCGAGCAGCCCGGGCCGCAUCCACACGGUGCAAAGCGGGAGGGCGAGAGGACGGGCUGCAGGGUCGGGUUGGUGGUAUAAGGGGAGGAGGGGGGGGGGUUGUUGUUGUUGUUGUUGUUGGUUUGUUUGUGUGCAAGAAAUCCGAGAGAAUAGAUUCAAUAUAGAGAGCUAG